GCCUACGGGGGGCAGCAGUGAGGAAUAUUGGUCAAUGGGCGCGAGCCUGAACCAGCCAUCCCGCGUGCAGGAAGAAGGCCCUAUGGGUUGUAAACUGCUUUUGUGCAGGAAUAAAAGUACCCUCGUGAGGGUAUUUGAAGGUACUGCGUGAAUAAGCACCGGCUAACUCCGUGCCAGCAGCCGCGGUAAUACGGAGGGUGCAAGCGUUAUCCGGAUUUAUUGGGUUUAAAGGGUGCGUAGGCGGUAUUUUAAGUCAGUGGUGAAAACUUGCAGCUUAACUGUAAGACUGCCAUUGAAACUGAAGUACUUGAGUUAUCUUGAGGUAGGCGGAAUGUGUAGUGUAGCGGUGAAAUGCUUAGAUAUUACACAGAACACCGAUUGCGAAGGCAGCUUACUAAGGAUACACUGACGCUCAGGCACGAAAGCGUGGGGAUCGAACAGGAUUAGAAACCCGAGUAGUCCA
rnacentral:rRNA from 1 species